GUGUAAAUCCCGCUUGAUUUUGGUGUAUUAGAUGUGGCAGUAUUCCUUUCAAUCUUUCAGCAAGUAUUGAAGAGUAUAUUUUUGUGUUGCAGUUAAUGAGCGAUAUAGGUCUGUAAUUUAUGACUCUUGUUCUGUCUUUGUCUUCUUUUGGAAUCAGUACUAUUUUAGCUUGCAACAUUUCUGAGGGAAAGCUUUUUUUAAUCUAAUUUCAUUAAAAGUCUCUGCUAAGUAUGAUGCUAUAAUGGGGGACAUUUUUUUAAAAUAAAAUAAAUUAGAAAAUCCACCAGGGCCUGGGGAUUUGUUAUUUUUCAAUCUGUCAAUUGCUUUUUGAACCUCUAUUAUGUUAAAUGGGGCUUCUAACUUAGAAUUUUGUUCCAGAUUUAUUGUCGGGGGCUUAAGCUCCUUUAAGUACUAUUUAAUUCCUGGUCUAGUUUGCUUAUCAUCCGCUAUAUUGUACAAUGAGGAGUAAUAGUCCAAGAACGCUUUCCCAAUCUCCCUCGGGCUUAGGGAUAUCCCUUUCUCAGUAAUAAUUUUACUAAUCCUUGCUUUGGCGUCUUCCCUUCUUAAUUGAUUUGUUAGUAAUUUGUCCGCCCUAUUUCCAAGAUAAUAACAUUUUUGUUUAAAU